ensembl:misc_RNA Metazoa_SRP Metazoan signal recognition particle RNA
GCCAGGUGUGAUGGCGCGUGCCUGUAGUCCUAGCUAUUCAGGAGGCUGAGGCUGGAGGAUCACUUGUGUGCAGGAAUUCUGGGCUGUAGUGCACUAUGCCGAUUGGGUGUCCACACUAAGUUCGGCAUCAAUAUGGUGACUUCCUGGAAGAGGGAACCACCAGGUUGCCUAAGGAAGGUUGAACCGGCCCAGGUCAGAAAUGGAGCAGGUCAAAACUCCCGUGCUGAUCAGUAGUGGGAUAGGGCCUGUGAAUAGCCACUGCACUCCAGCCUGGGCAACACAGUGAGACCCUAUCUCUA